ACGCGGGAGACAGACAGGGCUGGGCGCAGGAGCGAUUGACCCGCCGGCGGGGAGGCGACUAGCCAGGAUCUCCCCCUAGCUCCGUCUCCAAAGGGACCUCUGUAGUCAAUACAGACCCAGAGCCAUGGCAAUGACCAAGAGCCUUUAAGGAAAACUCCCUUGGACUGGAAUCGAAACUAACCGUCCCGUAGGGUUUUCUGAGCCAGCCCAUACACAUGAGCGGAGAAUUCUCGCUGUGCGGCGGGACGAUUCAGCGAGCCUGUGUAGACGCAAUCCCUCAGUCUUGAUGAACAGCGGGUCAUGUGUCGGCUUCGUCUCUACUAUGGGAUUUUGCAGAGCGUUUUCCAUUAGGGCCAGACGGAGCUAGACCCCGCAGUGCCAGUGCAGGAAUCCUUGCCUAGGGGUUUGGACUCAGCGAAGCAGGAGAAGCAGCCAACCCGGGUCAGUGCUCAAUAGCUGGGUACCCGCCUUUGCCCGUGUGCCAUGGUGAGGUGGGGACACAGGGCUAUCUGGAUGAGGCCAAGCUCCCCAGGCAUGUGAUCGGGGUUCCUGGGAGGUGUUCUCCAAGCCAAAGACCCCGUUUGUCGCCACCCCGCCCACACGCCGCUUGCUAGGUGUUAGCCUGCGGUCCGUAUUUCUCUCCCUGCUCGCUCCUGUGUAUAUCAGGCACCCCCACCGGUGAAUGAAAGACCACUGCAAAAUCACCUCGCACUCCAUAAGUUUUCCCCUCCCGCCUCCCCCAUUGAAUUAUGCCCUUAACUACCUUGAAUGUGAAAGGGAGUUUAUCUAUCAAAAAGCUGCUUUGUGUCCUAAAUGAAUAAAAUAUGUUCGUGUCCCAUCAGCUCCCUGUUUGUUUCCAUUAUCCACCUUUAUAAGAACAGGAGUUAAUCAGAAAUGGGUGGCCACUGGCUUUUUGCACUUCUCGCCUUCCCAAGAGGCAGCCAGAAAGGAGUUCAACUUUCUCAGUUUGCUUGGCUUGGAUCUUCCUUUUAG